GACGAACGCUGGCGGCGUGCCUAAUACAUGCAAGUCGAACGCAGUUUCGAACGGGUGAGUAUCGCGUAGGUAACUGUCUGGUAGCGGGGGGUAACACUUUUAAACGAUAGCUAAUACCGCAUACUACCAGAUGGACCUGCGUGGUAUUAGCUAGUUGGUGAGGUAAGGGCUCACCAAGGCAACGAUGCAUAGCCGACCCGGGGAGGGGAUCGGCCCACCUGGGAAUGAGGCAAGGCCCAGGAUCCUUCCGGAAGCAACAAGAGGGAAUGCUCGGGAAAGGGAGGAACGCUGAACUGGCAAAGGCGGGGGAGGGAAGAAGGUUUUCGGGUCGUAAAGCUCUGGUGUUAAGGGAGCGGUACUUAACCAGAAAGGGACGGCUAACUACGUGCCAGCAGCCGCGGUAAUAC
rnacentral:rRNA from 1 species